CCCUUAGAUGUUCUGGGCCGCACGCGCGCUACAAUGAUGAAUUCAACGAGUUUAUAACCUUGGUUGAAAAGCCUGGGUAAUCUUUUGAACUUUUGUCGUGAUGGGGCUAGACCCUUGCAAUUAUUGGUCUCCAACGAGGAAUUCCUAGUAAACGCAAGUCAUCAGCUUGCAUUGAUUACGUCCCUGCCCUUUGUACACACCGCCCGUCGCACCUACCGAUUGAAUGGUCCGGUGAAAUCUUCGGAUUGAGACUUUGAUUUCUUCACGGAAAACGUUGUUUUAUAAAGUUGAUUAAACCUUACCAUUUAGAGGAAGGUGAAGUCGUAACA
rnacentral:rRNA from 1 species